rnacentral:lncRNA from 1 species
UCUGGCCCUGGGGAGUCUUGCCUGUUCAGGGGCUGUGGUUAAGGCUCUGAUUUCCUUGUUGGUAUAAAAAACGAGGGCAGGCGUUUCUGUCAUGGUUCAGUGGUUAACGAAUCCAACUAGGAACCAUGAGGUUGAGGGUUCGAUCCCUGGUCUCACUCAGUAGGUUAAGAAUCCGGUGCUGCCGUGAACUGUGGUGUAGGUCGCAGACACGGCUUGGAUCCCGAGUUGCUGUGGCUGUGGCAUGGACUGGGGGCUACAGCUCCAAUUCGACCCCUAGCCUGGGAACCUCCAUAUGCCUCGGGUGCGGCCCUUAAAAGAUAGAAAGACAAAAAAAAAAAAAAAAAAAAAAAAAAAAAAAAAAAAACGAGGGCAUCACCUCAUCUCCAAGUUUCCCCCAGAGGCACAGGACCUGCUCCCACUGUCUUGGUAUCCCAGCCUGCUGUCCCCUGGGGCCUGAGGGCCAAGGCCUGACUCUGACUGUCUUCAUUGCAUUUGAAGAUUGUUGUGGCCACUUCACUCCUUGGGGCCCUAGUCGUGGCACCUAGCCCACCCCCUCGUCCCUCUGGGUGGGGAGGGGCCGGAUUGUUAUGUGGGCAUCUUGGUAGCAGACCCAGGCAGAGAGAGAGGAAGCCCUUGAGGGUAGUGGGAGUUGGGCCCCCAGCUCCUAAAGGGAGAGGAGCAGGGGUGUGUGCAGGGUUCUGCUGGGGCGGCUUGCACGCUGGUGUCCGAGACGGGCUAGGAAGAGGUGCUGCAUGGAUCUGUGUGCCAGGGAGGCCCCGGCCUACUCGGACCUGCACCACCUCUGUGUGGCCCUCCUGGAGACCCAGAAGUGUGGGCUAAGACCUCAGGGUCCUAUCUUGGCCCCGGCUUUGGCUACUGUGACUCCAGCCAGGGGAGGGUCUUGGUUACUGUCCCUGAGUGCAUGACAUUGUCACUGCCAGGAGGCCCCAGGGUCCAGCCCCACUGCCAGCCAAGGAGAGGCCCAAGGUCAACUGCUUCCUGUUGUAAUAGGGCUGGGCCCCAAACCCAGGCCCUCUCUGGCCAGAGCCCUUGACCCUGCACCAAUGACCAGUCUCACAGGAACAAGAAAGAAACCAAAUGGAGCUCUGGCAGGUGAGGUCAGCCCCCUCAGGAGGGGAGGAGGAAAGGGCUGUCCCUCGCAAGGACAGGAGAAUUUGGCAACUCUUCUACCUUGGCUUCUUGUACGUGGAAAACUCCCCACUCCUCACCCAAAUCCUCCCCUCCUCACAGAGCACACCCUAAGUGCCUUCUUUGACCCUAAGACCUUGCAACUCCCCGGGGAGGGUCCCUGAGAAACAAGAUGAGCUUCCUAAAGGGGAUGGGGGCCCAAGGUGGGAAUGGGAGGGGCAGUGGCUGCACUCAGCCAGGCUUACAGGUCAGAUUUGCAGGAAGCCGAGCAGGAGCGGCUAGAGCCGAAGGAGAGGAUUCUGGAGACAGAGGAGAAAGGCAAGGGAUGGGUCUGGGCCAAGCGUGGAGGGAAGGGUAAGCAUGAGGAGUGGCACUGGUUCACCGAUUCCUUGCCAGUCAGUGGACUGGACGGUGCUGGGAGUGGCGCCUGGCUAUGUCCUGCUCAGCAGAAGCAAGACUGGCUUCCAAGACACCUGGGAUGGGGGCGGGGGGGCAGUGCAGCCAGGACCGGCCCCAAGGAGGUUCUGCUUUGAGGCUGAUGCAGUUCCAUGGGCUAGGACUUGAGAGGGAGGGUAGCCCUUGCCAGCUAAGGUGCUUCAGCGCUGGGCCACACUAUGGAAAGGGCCCAGAGCCGGGAGGAAAAUGAAGAAGGAAGCGGUAUUUAAAGACCUCUUGCAGAAAUCCUCCAUCUGAUCCUCCUCUCCCCAUUUUACAGAAAAGGGAAGUGUUGGAAGGGUUGGCUGGCUCCAGAUCACACAACCCAGGGAGACUAUGGCCUCCAGAGCUUCUGUGACGUCACCACACCACGGAUUCGCCGGGGCCUGGGGUGAGAUGGGCACGGUGGGUGUUACGAUCUAGGGUGUUCUGUCCUGUCCCCCAGUGGGACCUCUCCCCACCCACCAACAGGGAGCCCAGAGCCCAGUAUAGACGCCUCCAAAGCCAGCCCCUGCUGGCCUGUGCAGUGUGUGCCCGGGAGCCCAGCACAGGGCCCUCAGAGCAGCGCACUGAGCUGGGGUCCAGCAGCCAAGCCCGUCCGCGAGCGUCAAGCCUGAGCUUGUUCUAGGGGGAACUUCUGAACCGUGACCCUUCAGUCUCAUUUCAAGGGAAAAAAUUGAAAGUUUGGAGUCAGCAAGGGUGACCCUGACUGAGGCCAGAUUGAGAGGCGCUGGGGGGUCAAGUAGCUGCCCACACGCCCCACUCUCGGUCCCACCCUGCAGGACCUCCAGGAUGGUCGUAGGUGGGAAGAGGCCUGGAGGCCCCGGAUGGUCACGAAGAGCAGCCUCCUCUUUCCCCUGGUUGAGAGCCUCACUCGGUGCCUGCCUGAGGGGACCCUGGCUCUCGGGCGAGGUGGAGACAUGGUUCCCGUGUGGAAGCAGCACUGCCUGAGCAGCUGCUUUGGAAUCCAGUCACCACCUCAUGGCCACCUGACUGUGCCCUCUCCCCAGGGCCGGGUUCUAGGAGGAGGAAGAGUAAGGCAGGAUGAGGACGAGGUCUUGGGUGACUGUCAGGGUAAAGGCUCAGAUCCUUGUCCUCAAGAAGAAAGUUCCUGUCUCUGUAUGCAGCAGUCAACCAAAAUUUGGUGUCUCCCCAAGGUCACACCUUGCUAGGGAGGAAUGGGCUGGGAUGGUUUAAUAGGACCAGAUACAAACCCUAGGUGAGGUGACAAGGCCCCGAGGGCACUCUCCUCAUGUUGCCUAAGAAACUCACCCUAGGAACAGGACUUAGCAGAAGUGGGUGGGCUGGGAGCCCUAAGUUCAACCAUGAUUGUGUAGAAAACGCUCAGCAGUAGCCCUCUGGAGCUUGAGGGCAGGUCAAGUUCAACUUGACCUUGGGGCAAACCACUUCCUCGCCUGCAGGACUGAAAAUCCCUGAGUGCUCGGCGCAGAGCUGGCUUGAAGCCCAGGCUCACCAAGGCCACAGUGGGAGUCAGUGGCAAAACCCGCACCCAGGGCUUAGGUUUCUCCUCAUUUCUUCCCAUUUUCCCUGUGCCAUCCUGAUGCAGCUGGUCAGGAAUGGGCGGUGUCACUUCUCAGUAAAUGGGAUCAGACAGGGGGCUCUGCAAAACCACGGAAUUCCACAGGCAAGUCACCACCCAGCAGUGACCUCCUCAAAACAACCACUCUGACUUUAUAAAACCUCCCAGCAUAAAAAAUAAAUGAAGGCAGUGAACAUUG